CUACUUCUCUGUAUGGCAAAGGGUGAGAUAUCCAUCCUCUGAGACUCACCACUCUCAUCUGACUUGAUUUCCAGUUGAUCCGAUGGAAGUGAGUGAUGAUUAAGCUGAUCGUGGGUGCCCGCUGCGUGAUCUCUAGGUGACGGAUGCAUAAAGUAAAGGCAAAAUGAAUUUUAGAUAUAUUCCUUAAGAUUUUCAGCUUCAACUCCACACAAU
rnacentral:lncRNA from 1 species